rnacentral:rRNA from 1 species
UACAGAGGUGGCAAGCGUUGUUCGGAAUUACUGGGCGUAAAGGGCGCGUAGGCGGCCUCGCAAGUCCCGUGUGAAAUCCCUCGGCUCAACUGAGGAAUGGCACGGGAAACUGCGGGGCUUGAGUUCGGGAGAGGGAAGCGGAAUUCCGGGUGUAGCGGUGAAAUGCGUAGAUAUCCGGAGGAACACCGGUGGCGAAGGCGGCUUCCUGGACCGAUACUGACGCUGAGGCGCGAAAGCGUGGGGAGCAAAUGGG